UAAGGAAUUCCUGUUAAGGAAAUAUCAUAAAACUAUAUUAUCGCAUAGCACCAAAAUAUAAUUACUCAUAGUUCUCAUUAUAUAAAGGAUACAAGCAAAAUGCUCUUUCUGAAUUCUUCCACAGUUAAUUUCAAGGAUAAACACAACUCCUGUAGAACAAAGCAAUCAUACACUUCCAAACUACGGAUUAGUAUUCCCACUACACUUAGUUCUUGCAAUGAAAACCUGAAGGGUAUCUUGAAGGUCUUGGAUUCAGCAAAGACUAAGGGUAAGCAAGCUCAGUUUUCUGAUUUUGAUUCUUCAAGCCCACUGCCUAAAUCUUUGGAUUACUGGACCUACAAUUGCUCCCUGGACUCAUCCUCCCCUCCAUGAGAAUGUAAUCUGGAUUAUCCUUGAAGAGCCUAUUCCUACCGGCUCAGAGCAGCAUCUAAUGAAGAAUUACAUAUAUGCACACACAUAUGGCCAUGCAAAAAUAAAGCACCAUCAGGUUCACUGUUUCUCAAGGAGAGCAGCACCCAGCUUUGCAAAGGGCUCCACAGUGACAACUGAAUUAUUUAAUAGCCAGCAGUGGCAAAGCUCUGAACAAGAUAAGGUCAGACUCUGCAAGGAACAACAUGAAGCACUAGAAUAGAAAUUAGGUUUCCAGGUAGCUCUGUUAUGCAACUUGAAUGUUAUUUAACUGAAAUAAUGAAGUACCUUCAUUAAGCUAUGUUAAUAUUAUCUGUGAACAGGAAGAUAAUAAUUUUCAUUGCUCUCAGUUCUCAAAAAAAAAUGCUUCUGGGAAAAGCAAGGGUAGAAACACCGCCUGAUCUGUUGGACUGGUUUCAGAGGAGGUGUUUUCCUCAGUGAUAACAAAAAAUUAAUAAACUUCACAAAAUGAUCACAACGGGCAUACAUUUAAGAAAUUGAAACAAAUCUAUUAGGCAGAGAUAAAAGGAGAUGUUUUGUUCAGAUUCUCUAUAAAAGCUCUUUCACAGGUGUUCUGAAGCUGUAUCUUACAAUUUCUCAGGUUCAGCAUGGGCAUGAGACCUGUGGUUUCGAUCAGUUGGAGACAUUUGCACAUGUGAAGAAGGGUGACAGAAGGUGGGCAGCUGGAUCUACUGGUUCAUCUCAAGCUCAUCUCCAACAUAAAUGACUACACCCUAUUUCUUUUUGUGCAACUCCUCUGGAAAAUUACUUUAAUAAAAUACAUGUGAAAAUAUUAAGUAGGAACAACUGUGAAAAUCAAAUGGAUCUACUUACGACAACCAAGAAAAUGAAUAAGCAAUUCAUAGUCUAUGAAACUGUAAGGCAACGGAAAUGUCCUUGAUUUGAUCAAGGAAAGGCAAACUCAUUUCAUAGUAUCUCUAGACUUUGACUACCAGUGAAGCAGAGCUGUCUUAUCUUUAGAACAAAGAAAGAGAACAAAAUUCAAACAGGAUUAUAUUUUAAGACAUAAAACUAUCACUCUGUUGACAACUACUGAUACCUGCUGUCAAUAUAAAAGAGGGAAAGGAAAAUUACUUAGUGCAGUAGUUUGAAUGGAUGAUUUCUCAGUGUCAAAGAUUUAAUAAAACUAACAUUUUCUCUCUCUCUCUCUCUCUUUUUUUUUCUUUUUUUUUUUUUUUUUUUUUUUACCAGAAUUAAUCAUUUUCUCAUUUGUUGUUCAAUAUUUUAUCCAUACAUAAAAAUAUUAAUAUCUGUGCAGUGCAUCAUAGCCAAACUCUACAGUAAAUCACUCACAUUCCGAAAUAAAAGUAAAUGGCAAGCUACCACUUAAACAACUCUUCUGGAGAACUUCUGCUAAGCAUCUCCUCUGCUAAAAUAAAGUUCCCUCAUAGCUCUACAGCUGUGAAACAGUAGUUCCAUUUAGCAUUUCACAUCUGAUCAGCAGAAC
rnacentral:lncRNA from 1 species